AUUGAACGCUGGCGGCAGGCCUAAUACAUGCAAGUCGAGCGAACGGACGAGAAGCUUGCUUCUCUGAUGUUAGCGGCGGACGGGUGAGUAACACGUGGAUAACCUACCUAUAAGACUGGGAUAACUUCGGGAAACCGGAGCUAAUACCGGAUAAUAUUUUGAACCGCAUGGUUCAAAAGUGAAAGACGGUCUUGCUGUCACUUAUAGAUGGAUCCGCGCUGCAUUAGCUAGUUGGUAAGGUAACGGCUUACCAAGGCAACGAUGCAUAGCCGACCUGAGAGGGUGAUCGGCCACACUGGAACUGAGACACGGUCCAGACUCCUACGGGAGGCAGCAGUAGGGAAUCUUCCGCAAUGGGCGAAAGCCUGACGGAGCAACGCCGCGUGAGUGAUGAAGGUCUUCGGAUCGUAAAACUCUGUUAUUAGGGAAGAACAUAUGUGUAAGUAACUGUGCACAUCUUGACGGUACCUAAUCAGAAAGCCACGGCUAACUACGUG
rnacentral:rRNA from 1 species